AGUGAACGCUGGCGGUAGGCCUAACACAUGCAAGUCGAACGGCAGCACAGUAAGAGCUUGCUCUUACGGGUGGCGAGUGGCGGACGGGUGAGGAAUACAUCGGAAUCUACUUUUUCGUGGGGGAUAACGUAGGGAAACUUACGCUAAUACCGCAUACGACCUACGGGUGAAAGCAGGGGAUCUUCGGACCUUGCGCGAUUGAAUGAGCCGAUGUCGGAUUAGCUAGUUGGCGGGGUAAAGGCCCACCAAGGCGACGAUCCGUAGCUGGUCUGAGAGGAUGAUCAGCCACACUGGAACUGAGACACGGUCCAGACUCCUACGGGAGGCAGCAGUGGGGAAUAUUAGACAAUGGGCGCAAGCCUGAUCCAGCCAUACCGCGUGGGUGAAGAAGGCCUUCGGGUUGUAAAGCCCUUUUGUUGGGAAAGAAAAGCAGCAGGUUAAUACCCCGCUGUUCUGACGGUACCCAAAGAACAAGCACCGGCUAACUUCGUG
rnacentral:rRNA from 1 species